CCUCCAUUUUCAAUACUUAAUAACAUACACCUAAAAAGUUUUGAUUUUUUAGCCUCUAAAAGUGUCAUCCGAACCCAAAUAGUAAAUUUUGGGUGUGAAAUCCGGCCACCCAUUUUUGUUGAGAAAUUGUUCAAUCUCAACCUCGUUUAAGGUAUAAAUAUUGCUUCUAUUCUUAUUGUAUUAUGUAUAUUGUUUUAUUUUUUGUUUUUGUAAAUUAUUAUUUGAGUUUUUUUAUUUUAUUAGUAAUAUUAUUGUGUUUUAUGUGUAUAGUGUCGGGAUUUUUUACGGUGGUCGUCGGAUUGCGGUUAUUAGGGGUUCGGCAUAAUUUUGUGUGUAGCGUAUUUGGGCUUGCAAUUAUAGACAUGGCGAACUCAGAAUCAGGAUCUGAUUCGGGAGCAGAAAAUGAGUGUCCAACCACAAUACCUACACGAGGGCCGACGCAAAUGAAUGAAAUAUCCAAACUAAUGGAUCAGGGCAAAAGAGUGGCCCUCGAAGUUAAUGAUAAAGGUCAAUACUGUGGAAAAAGCUACGCGAAGCUCGUAUCCACUCUGGGAGUCAGAUGUCGGCAGACAAUAGGGUUGGCUUAUAAAAACUGGAAAGAAGUCAACCAGAC